rnacentral:rRNA from 1 species
GAUGAACGCUGGCGGCGUGCCUAAUACAUGCAAGUCGAGCGAACAGACGAGGAGCUUGCUCCUCUGACGUUAGCGGCGGACGGGUGAGUAACACGUGGAUAACCUACCUAUAAGACUGGGAUAACUUCGGGAAACCGGAGCUAAUACCGGAUAAUAUAUUGAACCGCAUGGUUCAAUAGUGAAAGACGGUUUUGCUGUCACUUAUAGAUGGAUCCGCGCCGCAUUAGCUAGUUGGUAAGGUAACGGCUUACCAAGGCAACGAUGCGUAGCCGACCUGAGGGGGUGAUCGGCCACACUGGAACUGAGACACGGUCCAGACUCCUACGGGAGGCAGCAGUAGGGAAUCUUCCGCAAUGGGCGAAAGCCUGACGGAGCAACGCCGCGUGAGUGAUGAAGGUCUUUGGAUCGUAAAACUCUGUUAUUAGGGAAGAACAAAUGUGUAAGUAACUAUGCACGUCUUGACGGUACCUAAUCAGAAAGCCACGGCUAACUACGUG